UGAUUCAUUGAGAUAUCAUAGAAUUUUUUCUCUUAUAUUAAUGUUGUUAAAUUACAUUGUUUAAAUAAAUGUGAUUAUUUUCUUCUAAUUUUCACUUACAUAUUUCUAUCAGCUGCUAUCAUGUUUAGCAGUCAAUUAGUCAAUUCUGUGAGGAAGAUGGUGAGACUGUCUGCUCUUACCACUUCCAUUUGGCUGUGUUUCAGAGGUCUAGAUGGUACAAUAGAUGAAAAAUAACUAAAAUAAUAGAAGGUACAAAGAUUAGAAAAGAGUAAUAAAACUGCCUCUUCACAGUGGUCUGCAUAGAAAGUCUAAUUCUUAAACUAUUAAUUGUCUUUUGAUUAAUAGAUUAAAUUAAGUAAUUGUCUUUAAAUUAACAAAUUGCCCAUGUAGAUUAUCUUUGGAAUCUACUAGAAUUAAUCAUUUAAAUUAGUGAGCUCAUAGGGUAAAAGAUCAGUAUAUGAAAAAUCAAUAUNNNNNNNNNNNNNNNNNNNNNNNNNNNNNNNNGAAAAAUUUAAAUGUACCAUUUAUAACAGUAUUAUAAAUACCUAGGAAUAAAUUCAAUGAAAGGUAAGAACUCUACUCUGAAACUACAAAGCAUUGCUGAAAUGAAAGGAGAGCUAGGUAAAUGAAGAUAUAUACCAUAUUCGUGCACGCAGAACAUAUACGAAGACAGACCAUGCUCCAAGCAAAAAUACACCUCAACUCAUUUAUAUGGAUUCAACUUAUGCAAAAUUUGCUCUCUGGCUACAAUAAAAUUAAAAUAGCAGUCAAUAAUAGAGGGAUUUCUGGAAAAUCCCCAAAUUUCAAUAAUCAAAGGCAAUGAUUUUCUAGACUGCUUGCCUCCGAAGUUCAGGUUGACACAGAGGACAUUUUUCUGCGCUGCACAACCAGUGGAAUGACGUAAGAAUUGAUUAUGGACAUGUUAAUCCCCAUUCCAACCAACUCAGCAGCGCCCUGAGACUGGGUAUGCUGGGAGCAGUGGCAGACGGCUGUUAUACCCUGGAAUAUUGCACUGAAACAGAGUUCCAGCAUGUUUAAAAUUCAUCAAAUCGUUCUCAUUUCUUGUUUUCUUUCCCUCACAGUCUAUAAAUGCUGAUGAAGAAUGUGGGAACAAGACUGUGUGGCUGACAAAACAAAAAAUCUGGUCCUGGAUGGCUUUUGAUGAAUUUAAUAAGUAGAAAGAUAAUGAACAUAGAGUACAUUUGCAUAAUGGUGUAACAAAAACUUAUUGAAUGAUGCUAACUAUCUGAGGAAACCACAGUUGGAAACUGCGUGUAAGACUGGUUCUGGCAAGAUCCCCGAUUCCACUCAGUCACCAUGUAUGGUUUUAAGGGGGGUAGGGAGUACCUCACAUGCCUUACUUCUUAAGUAACUUUUUCAUCCUGUUUUUCUAAUCAAAUAAUUAAAAUUCAUUUUUAAUAGAAAAAUUUCCAAUACCUAGAUUUGUCCUAAGUGUAUUUUUUCUCAAGGAUUUAUAAAAGUAAACAUUUCUCUUUAAUAGACCUUUGGAAAGACUUGAGGCUAUAAAUUGUUUUUAAUAUUUGAAAGUUUUUUUCCCACCCUUGAAAACAAUGUUAAGUUGCUCCCUUGAUAAUUAUUUUUU
ensembl:lncRNA